rnacentral:rRNA from 1 species
UACGAAGGGGGCUAGCGUUGCUCGGAAUCACUGGGCGUAAAGCGCACGUAGGCGGAUCUUUAAGUCAGGGGUGAAAUCCUGGAGCUCAACUCCAGAACUGCCUUUGAUACUGGGGAUCUCGAGUCCGGAAGAGGUGAGUGGAACUCCGAGUGUAGAGGUGAAAUUCGUAGAUAUUCGGAAGAACACCGAUGGCGAAGGCAGCCAUCUGGACCGACACUGACGCUGAGGCGCGAAAGCGUGGGGAGCAAACAGG